AGGUGAUCAGGGACCUCGGAUGGUGUUUCCUAAAAUCAAUCAUGGGUUUCUCUCUGCUGAUCAGCAGCUCAUUAAACGCCGCCUCAUUAAGGGUGACCAAGGGCAGGCUGGGCCUCCAGGACCUCCAGGACCUCCAGGCCCAAGAGGGCCUCCUGGGGACACAGGG